AUUGAACGCUGGCGGCAGGCUUAACACAUGCAAGUUGAGCGGAAACGAUACCAGCUUGCUGGUAGGCGUCGAGCGGCGGACGGGUGAGUAACACUUAGGAAUCUACCUAGUAGUGGGGGAUAGCUCGGGGAAACUCGAAUUAAUACCGCAUACGACCUACGGGAGAAAGGGGGCAGUUUACUGCUCUCGCUAUUAGAUGAGCCUAAGUCGGAUUAGCUAGAUGGUGGGGUAAAGGCCCACCAUGGCGACGAUCUGUAGCUGGUCUGAGAGGAUGAUCAGCCACACCGGGACUGAGACACGGCCCGG
rnacentral:rRNA from 1 species